GGAUGACAUUGUGAUAGGGUGUGAGGCGAAGAGAGUUCUGGGAGUUGAGGUAUAAAGACUUAAAAUCUGGCAAGAGGAAGAUGAGGUCAUGGUAGGAGAUAUGAGAGACCGUCACCCUCUCCCCAAGGGGGCAGCCUGAUGUUCCAGGAGGUGGCAGCCACUCGUCCAGGUCAGAAAGCGACUGCCAAGAACUCACUGGACCUUGGAAGUCAGCCAGCUGCCAAUCUGUCAGCUUGCAUCCGGAGGGCUGGAGAAGAAGCGCUGUGUUAACUGUGCAACUCUGUGCUGCUGUGCACGCUCGCUUGCUGUAUGAUGGGCCCUCUGCUCUCAGCAGAGUUUUUGCUGACAUUUUUUCCUCCUUUUCUCUGUGCAAGUGACACAGUAAUGACACGUCAUCUACAUUGAUUGCUGAGGGUCAGGGAUGGAAAGGAAUCUGAAAAUAUGCUCUGAGGGCCCACAGAAGUCAGGGCAAAAGGCCCCAGGGAACAGGAAUGGGGCCCCAGUGGCCCCAGAAUCCCAUUGCUGCCACGUGAACUAGCUCAGGCUAGCCUGCUGGAGGAUGAAAAGCUGCCAUGUGAACUAGCUCAGGCUAGCCUGCUGGAGGGUGAAAGACCAUAGGGAGUGGAGCACAGUCAUUCCAGCCGAGGUCAUCCUGGACCAGUCUGCAGCCAGCUAACAGCCAAACAGAAGAGCCACCCAGCUGACCCGCAGCUGACCAAAGAUGCAUGAAUGAGCUCAACUGAGACCAGAUAAAGCACCCAACUGGGCCCAGCCUAAACUGCCACCCUUCAGAAUCAUGAGCUAAAUAAAUGCUUGUCAUUAU
rnacentral:lncRNA from 10 species